rnacentral:tRNA from 1 species
GGGUUGUGGCUCAGUGGUAGAGCACUUGCCUAACAUGUGUGAGGUACUGGGAUCUAUUCUCAGCACAAUGCA